GCUGUGUCAUGGGUGUGCGUCCUCAACCUUGGCAAAAUAAACUUUCCAAAUUAACUGAGACCUAUCUCAGAUUUUCGGGGUUCAUAAGGCUAAGGAAGUAUUGUCUCAGGGAUUUUUAUUUUUUACUGUUUUGCUCGGAAGGAAGCAGGAAGUAGUUCCCCUAAACACUUCCCCAGCUUGGCAUUCUCAAGGUGGCUCUCAGCUCCCUGGCCUCCAGAGGUGUCUCCUUUUUCUCUUUUCCUCAUUGUCUGGCACAUAGAGGGGAGAGAAACCAUUUUUUAUUUUACGUUAUUUUUUAUUUUUUAAUUUUAAUUUUAAUUUGAGACGGAGUUUCACUCUCAUUGCCCAAGCUGGAGUGCAAUGGCGUGAUCUCAGCUCACUGCAGCCUCCUGUCAGAGAUGAUAAAUUCCUCUUCAAAAAGGUUUAGUUCUCUGUUCUUUGUUUCUUAAGACCAACUUCCUUGUACAUCCUUGUCUCCUAGCUACCUGUUCUGUAAACAGCCUUCCUGCCUUCGCCAGGCCCAGACAAGUCCAGAUAUGCCUUCCCACCUAGUAACGGAUAGUUCCUCUUCCUUCCCACCUAAUAGACCCUAUUCAAUUUUAAAUCUUAGCCAAUCGAAUUAGCUUAGAUUGUGAAGUCCAACCCCAGCCAAUGCGGAAAGGACACAGAAGUGCUAGGAACUGCAUUAGGGAUUAAAAACCCCUGCCCUACCCUGCUUGGUGUGCUCUUGCGAUUGUGACUAGCACAAGCUGCACCCUUCUGCAGAAGUAAAUUUGCCUUGCUGAGGAAUUUUCUGCCUAUGUGCUGUUUUUCUUUGUGGCACCAGGCACUUGUUUCUAACAAACUUGGGGGUUCAUCUGGGAUUCCCAUUCUCCUCCGGGGAGGGUCUCAGAUCAUUUCUCGUGAGGAGACGCAGCCCGCUGCUUUGUUGCGGUGGCCUCAAGGGUAAGGGAUCGAGACCCACCUGGUGUGAUGAAUAAACCUGGACUCUAGCAAUGAGGGAAGAAAAGGCAGACAGAUACUGUGGCGACCAGGUAACUCUGUGCAUAGACCAAGCUACAGUCCCUGUUUUCUCCCCCAGAGAAAAAGAAAAGUUAAAAGAAAUAGGAGCCAAAGAAAGUCACGAGGGAAGAUGGGUACAACCAGACAAGAAGGAAAUGCUGUCUAAGCCCUUCAUGCGAGAGGACUCAAGGCCUCCUAGCACAAACUCCACCCAUUGAAUUACCAGUUCAUCAACACCAGCCUGGAGAUCACAUCCUUAUCAGAAGUUGGAAAGAGGGAAAGCUCGAACCCACUUGGGAAGGACCAUACCUAGUGCUCCUCACAACUGAGACAGCAGUCCGGACCGUUGAGAGAGGAUGGACGCAUCAUACCCGGGUACCCCUCUCCAAAAUGAAGUCUCGUUCAGUCACCUAGGCUGGAGUGCAGUGGCAUGAUCUCAGCUCCCUGCAACCUCUGCCUCCCGGGUUCAAGUGAUUCCCCUGCCUCGGCCUCCUGAGUGCCUGGGACUACAGGUGUGCAGCACCAUACCCGGCUAAUUUUUGUAUUUUUAGUAGAGACGGGGUUUUGCUAUGUUGGCCAGGGUGGUCUGAAACUCCAGGCCUCAAGUGAUCUGCCUGCCUCGGUCUCCCAAAGUGCUGGGAUUACAGGCAUUAGCCACCACACCUGGCCCUAACUCAGGGUUUCUUAACCUUGGUCCUACCAUUGACAUUUGGGCUGCAUGACUCUUCAUUGUGGGGAGCUGUCGUGUGUACUGGGUGAUGACAUUUACCAUUAUCCCUAGCCUCCACUCACUUGAUGCCAGUAGCUGCAAGCCCCCAGUCAUGACAACCCAAAAUGUUACCAGACACUGCCAGGUAUCCCCUGGGGGAUAGAACCACUGAUCCAACUGAAGAACAUGCACCCUGAACUACUACACUCCAUUCCCACCCAAGAGUGCAGCUUUCAGCUCGAAGUAAGGCAGAACUUUCUAAAAAAGAUGUUAUCCAACAAUGCAACAAGUUACCUUGAGAAAGACAGUAAGCUCCCCAACAUGGGAAGCAUGAAAGAAGAGGCAACCUGGAUCUGAUUCCAAAUUAGAAAUACUCCAAACUUCCUCAAGGGCAAUGCAAUUAUUUACCUAAAUAAAGCUCAGCAACGUUGGUUUUAGAUAAAGCACCUAGUACAGUGUCUGGCAUACAUGAGGUGCUCAAUUAAUAGCAGUGGUUGUGUUUUCUUCCAUUUCUUGGUGAGCACCACCAUCCUGUACCUGGCCCAUUCAGGAUCAGAGGACUCAUCCUUGACCUUUCCUUGUUUUUCACUGUGGUGGAAGCUGCUAAUAGUCUCCUCUCAUGUCUAAGACUAGAACUCUGCUUCUCAGCUGAGUAUACAGCUGCCUGGAAUAGAAACUACAUUUCCCAGACUCCUUUGUAGCUGGGUGUGACCAUGUGACUAAAUUCCAAUGGAAUGUAAAUGCAAGUGUUGUUUGCAACUUCCAGAAAACAGCCUUAAAAUAAAGGUGUGUACUUUUCUUUGGCCUUUCAUUCUUCUAGCUGGCUGGAUUGUGGAUAUGAUGAGUAGUGCUUAAGCAGCCAUCUUGGGACCAUAAGGAAAAGCCACACAAUUAGGAAAGUGAAGCAGCCAUCGGGACAGACUUGAGGUCCCUGAUGAUCAUGGGGCUGCCAUAUCAGCGAGGACUGCCCACCUCUGGACCUCACGUCUAUUUCAUGGAAGCCAUUGUUAGCUAGUGUUUUCUAUCACAUACAGCCAACUCGAAUCCUAAUUGAUACACUGUCCCUGACUUCAAAGAGUUGAUAAAUUAGCAUGCGAAGAAAUACACAAGAUAAACAGCAUCAAAACAAUUAAAUUAAAAACCCUAGAAUUCAGCUGGGACAAACGUGGUGACUGGUAUAAGAUCAAGGCAGGUAGCUGGACAGCAGAGGGAAGAACUGCCUCUCUCAAGGCAAAAUGCGGACGUCAGAAAGGACAUCAGAGAAGAAGUGAUAUGCAAGCCAGGCUUUGAAGGAUGGGUGGAAUUUCUCCAGCAGGAAGAAAGAGGUAUUUAAGGCUCAGUAGAAGAAAGACUCAAAGUACACAGCUGAGUUUGAGGAAUUGGGAGGAGUCAUUGGAAGUGCCUAGAGCACAGAACGAUGAGUCUGGAAGCACACGCUGGGGCCAAGGUGUAAGUAAGCUUCUUUACACGUUGAUGCCAUUUCCCUGCCUGGAACAUUCUUUUGCCUUGAAACUCUUACUUGUUCCUUUCUCUUGGUAUCCUCAACUUCUAACAUGCUCCUCUUUUAUCAACUUUCUUGUGGGAUUAUCAUUCUUUAGCUGAUUCUCCUCCAACUAAAUGGGGAGCAACUCCAGGGCAUGGAGGAUGUCCACUAUUUCUGUCUCUGAAGUGCAACACCAUGGGGACAUCCCAUUCGCUGACAGCAGGGACCCUGCAUUUUCGCUUGCCAUCAUUUCUCCUGAGCCUGGCACCAGGCUGGCACAUGAUAGGUGCUCAACAGAGGUUUACUGGAUGAGCCCUGAAAAAACAAGACCCAGGGUCGGG
rnacentral:lncRNA from 1 species